UAAGAAGAAACUUGUGAAAACAGCUGGACUUAGUGAGACAAAGCUGGCUACCCUCUCCUUAUUCAUUCAAUCUAUAUAAUGAAUAUAUUUUGAAAGAGGCUAGAUUGUUAGAAGUCUUGUCUCCUGACAACUGCUUGGAGAAGUGCUUGCAGGUUUCUUGGCAAGAGUUUCAGAUUUGCCAUUAUUUUCUUCAAAGGCCUGAGAGAGGACUGACCCAAAGUCAUCCAGUUUGCUUUGUACCCAGCGGUUGGUUUCCAAUAUUCUACGCAUGCACCCAACCUUCCACACAUACUCCUGGCCUCAAAAACGUGGCAAAAUAGGACGGCAUUACAUCUGGACGGGUGGAAGGGUGCACCUGCAGUCUCCGCUACCAAUUCGCCCAAACCGGUGGAAAUAUUGAUGUCAUCAUGUUCAGUGACCAAAUCAACAGGAAGAGGACAACUUUCGAUUCAGAUGGAAGCAAUCAUUUGAAAGAGAUGUUUCUGAAUUUCUGUCUGAAUGAAUGGUUGCUUCACUUUGCAAGCUGCCUGAGAUGGCUACCAGUUCAUAGGAAAAGUUGAAUCCACUGUGCAACAGUUUCCCACAAGAUGCAGUGGGACUAAGAAUUAGAAAAAGGAAGACCCACAUUAGUUUCUACGUCGAACAAGGAGGUUUCUUUCUGAUUUCUCUUCCAAUUAAUCCUUUCUAACCGUCCUGCUGAAGAGAAGAAAUCCAAGUAUUUUGCUAUCAGCCAUCAAUCCAUGCUAUACUCAUGUGGCUUUCAGUCCUUCAUGACUGAGCUAUUUUAUACACUUUUAUUGAACGGAUGGGUUCCGAGAACAUCUCAGUUUCUACCAUCUUUUGGAUAACUUCAACUUCAUCUUCCACAUCUGCAUGUAACAUUAACAUGCAGAUCUUUAAAAGCACACAGUCCAUCUACUGACAGGCCUGACGAUUAAGAGCACCAGUUCAGAAAAUAAAAUGAAAUUUAAUAA